AUGCAGAUGGUAAAACAUUCUGGUCAAGGUGAAGCUGCAUCGGAGACUGUCGAAUUUUGCUUACGAGCUCUGGAAGAUUUUGACUUGGCACUACAUGAAUCACCAAGCAAUGGGUCAGCAUCUAUUGAAGCCAUGAGGAGCAAAAUCAUUGACAUCAUUGAAGCUUUGGACAAUAUCUUGCAAAUUGUGCCAUUAAAGCUGAUGCCGAAAGGAAGGAUGCUCGGAGAUGCCAGGGACCAAAAAAGAGGAAAAACAAUAUAUGAAACUUGUGAGAAACUGAGCUGUGAAGGAGCUGUGGUCUUGGGUUGUCGCUGGUUCCUGUCUCUCAUUUGCUGGUUACUCAUAUCGAUAGUGUUCUUAUGUAACCUCCCGUGGGAAAUCUUCAUUGGAGUUGUUAUCUUAAUCCCAUCAUACUUAUAUGGGAUCUUUGUAGUUUGUAGAUAA
rnacentral:rRNA from 1 species